rnacentral:rRNA from 1 species
UCUACGGGUGGCAGCAGUGAGGAAUAUUGGUCAAUGGACGAGAGUCUGAACAAGCCACGUAGCGUGAAGGAUGACUGCCCUAUGGGUUGUAAACUUCUUUUAUAUGGGAAUAAAAUGUUCCACGUGUGGGAUUUUGUAUGUACCAUAUGAAUAAGGAUCGGCUAACGUCGUGCCAGCAUCCGCGGUAAUACGGAGGAUCCGAGCGUUGUCCGGAUUUAUUGGGUUUAAAGGGAGCGUAGGUGGAUUGUUAAGUCAGUUGUGAAAGUUUGCGGCUCAACCGGAAAAUUGCAGUUGAAACUGGCAGUCUUGAGUACAGUAGAGGAGAGCGGAAUUCGAGGUGUAGCGGUGCAAUGCUUAGAUAUCACGAAGAACUCCGAUUGCGAAGGCAGCUCACUGGACUGCAACUGACACUGAGGCUCGAAAGUAUGGGUAUCAAACAGGAUUAGAUACCCUAGUAGUC